ACAGUUUUCCCUGGAUU
rnacentral:miRNA from 1 species